AAAUGGAGAUGAAAAUGGAGAUGAAAAUGACGAAUCCAGUGACGACACAGACGAUACCUUAAUUACAAAUUUUAAAUCAAAAUAUAAUAACGAUAUUGACUUUUAUUUAGACUUAUGUACAUAUUUUUAUUUUGCAAAAAACAGAGAUGAUUUUUGUUAUCUCAUGAAAUUGGAUAAAAAGAAAACUUCGGAAUUACUUAAAUUAUCUAAUCAGUUAAUACAUAUAAUUAAUCUCAAACUUAACAAAAAUAUUACUUUUGAAAAUUUGGAAAAAAAACCAUCCUCUUUAUCAAAACAAAUAAUACAUUAUGCUAUUAUUCAAGGAUUUAUAGACCAUUUAGCAAUUCGUUAUGAUUUUAUACAUAACGAAUAUACUAGAAAUGUAGAAUGUAAAUAUAAUAAUAAAAAAGCAUAUUUUACUCAAAACAUGAACACACCUGUAUAUAUUAAUUCGACUUCCGCUCUAUAUCCAAAUAGGCCAUACCCAAAAUACAUUUUAUACAAUUAUAUUAUGAAGAAUAAAAACUCAUAUGUUAUGUUUGACUGUUUACAUAUAAACGAGUCGGACUUAGAAAAGAUAACAAAUGCUUGUAUAUUUACUAACACAUACGAAAAAAUUCCUCCACCUAAAUACAAUACUAAAAAGGAUAAAAUUGUUGUUUAUAUAAAACCUAUGUAUUUACCUUAUUCUCUGCAGUUAUCUAUAGCAGAAAAAGAGUUAAACGAAAAUGACGUUUUAUUUUAUAAUUAUCUUGCACUGUUCAUAUUAAAUGGAGCAAUGUUUCCAAAAAUGUGUACAUUCCAAAAACUAUAUUCUCACGACGCAAGUGAUGUAAUUAAUUGUACUCAACAAGAAAUUAAAAAUUUUAUAGCCGCUUUAAAACAAAACAGAAUAGUGAACAGGUCAACUUUAAUAAGUAAAUGGAAACAGAAUAACAAUUUUUUAAAAAAUGAAUUUAUUCCUUUAGUAGAAAACAAAAUUACGAAGUAUAAUCAAAAUGCUGUUCAUGAUUUAUGGCCACCUACGCAUGUUUCAUAACAAUACAUAAAUAUAAAAACUUUGAUAUAUAUCUAUACAUGUAUGUACAUGUAAUCCCAGUUACAUGCAACAAGUUCAAAAACGCGUUUAUAUAUAUCACAUAGUAGUGAUUAUUAUAAACCAUUUUUUAAAUUAUAAAAUAAAAAUAGUUUAUUUAUAUUUAUAUUACGAAAA
rnacentral:lncRNA from 1 species